GGGGCGGUAGCUCAACUGGAUAGAGCAUCGGUCUUCUAAACCGAGGGUUGCGAGUUCAAGUCUCGCUCGCCCCAUCA
rnacentral:tRNA from 1 species